rnacentral:misc_RNA from 1 species
UUUCCGUAGGUGAACCUGCGGAAGGAUCAUUAUUGGAUUUUGGAACUUCAGGCUGCUGCUGGCUCUCCUCGGAGGGCAUGUGCACGCUUGUUGUCCAUUAUUUCUCCCACUGUGCACAAAUUGUAGACCUUUCAGUAGGCCUAUGUUGUUUUUCACAAUCUCUGAAUGUAAUAGAAUGGUUUUGAAUCUUGGGAAAUACAAUGCAACUUUCAGCAACGGAUCUCUUGGCUCUC